rnacentral:rRNA from 1 species
GACGAACGCUGGCGGCGUGCUUAACACAUGCAAGUCGAACGGAAAGGCCCUGCUUUUGUGGGGUGCUCGAGUGGCGAACGGGUGAGUAACACGUGAGUAACCUGCCCUUGACUUUGGGAUAACUUCAGGAAACUGGGGCUAAUAUCGGAUAGGAGCUCCUGCUGCAUGGUGGGGGUUGGAAAGUUUCGGCGGUUGGGGAUGGACUCGCGGCUUAUCAGCUUGUUGGUGGGGUAGUGGCUUACAAAGGCUUUGACGGGUAGCCGGCCUGAGAGGGUGACCGGCCACAUUGGUACUGAGAUACGGCCCAGACUCCUACGGGAGGCAGCAGUGGGGAAUAUUGCACAAUGGGCGGAAGCCUGAUGCAGCAACGCCGCGUGCGGGAUGACGGCCUUCGGGUUGUAAACCGCUUUCGCCUGUGACGAAGCGUGAGUGACGGUAAUGGGUAAAGAAGCACCGGCUAACUACGUG